AACGAACGCUGGCGGCAUGCCUAACACAUGCAAGUCGAACGAAGCCUUCGGGCUUAGUGGCGCACGGGUGCGUAACGCGUGGGAAUCUGCCCCUUGCUUCGGAAUAACAAUUAGAAAUGACUGCUAAUACCGGAUGAAGUCUUCGGACCAAAGAUUUAUCGGCAAGGGAUGAGCCCGCGUAGGAUUAGGUAGUUGGUGGGGUAAAGGCCUACCAAGCCGACGAUCCUUAGCUGGUCUGAGAGGAUGAUCAGCCACACUGGGACUGAGACACGGCCCAGACUCCUACGGGAGGCAGCAGUGGGGAAUAUUGGACAAUGGACGCAAGUCUGAUCCAGCAAUGCCGCGUGAGUGAUGAAGGCCUUAGGGUUGUAAAGCUCUUUUACCAGGGAUGAUAAUGACAGUACCUGGAGAAUAAGCUCCGGCUAACUCCGUG
rnacentral:rRNA from 1 species